rnacentral:ncRNA from 1 species
AUAAAAGAAUCCGUGCUUAUAUAUCAUCUGUAAUAUGGUCAGAAAGUUUCUACCGGGCAGCCGUCAACUUGCCCGACUAUAAGUGUGUUUCUG